CAAGCUAAAGCUUUAAAGAAGUAUUUUAUUUACAUUAAAAAGAUUGUUAUUUUACAUAGCUUGA
rnacentral:tRNA from 1 species